rnacentral:misc_RNA from 1 species
CCCCCCUCACGCGCCCCGUUGCGCGCUGGUGUUGGGGCGCCCUCCGCCUGGCGGGGGGCCCCCGAAAGCGAGUGGCGGGCCCUGUGGAUGGCUCCGAGCGCAGUACCGAACGCAUGUUCUCCCCUCGCUCCGGACGCCCCCCA